UCUUUGCCAGUCUGGCCUAUUUUGAGUGGAGGGGGCACAGCAACAGAUCUGAACGGCAGGCAAGCAAUAUGAUGACCCCGGGGGCGGAGUGCGGGCAGCAGCCUCUUCAACACAACACUGCUGGAGCCAAAGAGAUUAUACAUCUAACACGCAGCUCCUCAGAGAGGAGAGACAUCCAGUGUGAAACCGCCUUGUGUCUGUGGGACUGCCGAUUCGGAGAGGCUGCCGACUCUGAUUGGCGGAGCAGCCCUGCAGCAGAUCUGCAAGGUGCCUGAGGCUUCAGCACAAGAUGACUCCAAGCAGAAUGGAAAUGGAGAGACUGGCUACAAAAACCUCAGCAGAUACAUGUACUAAACUGAAUGGUAACGAGAACGCUUCUUUGCAGGCUUUUGUAAAGUCACAGGGCUAAAUUAUGGUAAAUUUAGAACUGUGAGGG